rnacentral:rRNA from 1 species
GUAGGGGUCCAAGCGUUAAUCGGAAUUACUGGGCGUAAAGCGUGCGCAGGGCGGUUGUGCAAGACCGAUGUGAAAUCCCCGGGCUUAACCUGGGAAUUGCAUUGGUGACUGCACGGCUAGAGUGUGUCAGAGGGGGGUAGAAUUCCACGUGUAGCAGUGAAAUGCGUAGAGAUGUGGAGGAAUACCGAUGGCGAAGGCAGCCCCCUGGGAUAACACUGACGCUCAUGUACGAAAGCGUGGGGAGCAAACAGGAUUAGAUACCCUGGUAGUCCACGCCCUAAACGAUGUCAACUAGUUGUUGGGGAUUCAUUUCCUUAGUAACGUAGCUAACGCGUGAAGUUGACCGCCUGGGGAGUACGGUCGCAAGAUUA